rnacentral:rRNA from 1 species
UGCAAGUCGUACGAGAACGCUUCAGCUUGCUGAAGCUAGUAAAGUGGCGUACGGGUGAGUAACGCGUGGGUAAUCUACCUCCGAAUUGGGGAUAACAUUGCGAAAGCGAUGCUAAUACCGGAUAAUAUCCAUUAAACCUCGGUUUUUUGGAUCAAAGGUGGCCUCUACAUGUAAGCUACUGUUUGGAGACGAGCCCGCGUACCAUUAGCUUGUUGGUAGGGUAACGGCUUACCAAGGCAACGAUGGUUAGCUGGUCUGAGAGGAUGAUCAGCCACACUGGAACUGACACACGGUCCAGACUCCUACGGGAGGCAGCAGUGAGGAAUUUUGCGCAAUGGGGGAAACCCUGACGCAGCAACGCCGCGUGAGUGAUGAAGGCUUUCGGGUCGUAAAGCUCUGUCAAGUGGGAAGAAACCAUAUGGUAUUAAUACCGCCAUAUGUUGACGGUACCAUUGAAGGAAGCACCGGCUAACUCCGUG